AUUGAACGCUGGCGGCAGGCCUAACACCUGCAAGUCGAGCGAGCGGCGGACGGGUGAGUAAUGUCUGGGAAAAUGCCUGAUGGAGGGGGAUAACUACUGGAAACGGUAGCUAAUACCGCAUACCAUCAGAUGUGCCCCGAUGGGAUUAGAUAGUAGGUGGGGUAACGGCGCACAAAGGCGACGAUCCCUAGCUGGUCUGAGAGGAUGACCAGCAACACGGGAACUGAGACACGGUCCAGACUCCUACGGGAGGCAGCAGUGGGGAAUAUUGCACAAUGGGCGCAAGCCUGAUUCAGCCAUGCCGCGUGUGUGAAGAAGGCUUUCGGGUUGUAAAGCACUUUCAGCGGGGAGGCGUUACCCGCAGAAGAAGCACCGGCUAACUCCGUGCCAGCAGCCGCGGUAAUAC
rnacentral:rRNA from 1 species